GAAUAUUGGUCAAUGGGCGAGAGCCUGAACCAGCCAUGCCGCGUGCAGGAUGACGGCCUUCUGGGUUGUAAACUGCUUUUCUACAGGAAGAAAAAGCCCUUGCGAGGGAACUUGCCGGUACUGUAGGAAUAAGCACCGGCUAACCCCGUGCCAGCAGCCGCGGUAAUACGGAGGGUGCAAGCGUUGUCCGGAUUUAUUGGGUUUAAAGGGUGCGUAGGCGGGUCUUUAAGUCCGUGGUGAAAGCCCAUCGCUCAACGAUGGAACUGCCAUGGAUACUGGAGGUCUUGAAUUCAGUUAAGGUAGGCGGAAUUGAUGGUGUAGCGGUGAAAUGCAUAGAUACCAUCAGGAACACCGAUUGCGAAGGCAGCUUACUGGGCUUGAAUUGACGCUGAGGCACGAAAGCGUGGGGAGCGAACAGGA
rnacentral:rRNA from 1 species